UGGAAUUAUGUAUAUGUAUACAUUGUUAAAAAUUGAAAACAUUAUAUGGGUGGUUCUCUAUGUUCGAACCAUUGACCUAAAUCCUAAAUCUACAUGUCUAUGAAAGAGAGUAAAAACGCAGACAAAGGAUAAAGCAUAAGGCAUCCAAGGAGUUAGUUCAGACAACUGUAUUUGACCAUUCCAAAUGAGUAUUUUCCGCAAAGAAAAAUAUGUUUCAUGAGUUAGUUGAGGUAUCAUUUCCCAAUUUCCAAAAUAUUCUGUCAUCUCUUCUAUUCCAAAUUAUAUGCUUCUCCUUAAUUUUGCCGUCAGCACAAAGAACAAGAGGCAAGAGAGAACAAAAAAAAACCACUCAAAAAUUUAUCUAAGAAUGGCCCUUACCUAAAAGUUGAUACGACUUUAAUACUGAUCACACAAAGUGGUGCUCCCUCAAAAGAAUCAGGUUGAUUUUCGUAUGGAUUUUUCUCUCCAGAAACUUGCUGCGUCAAAUUGAAGGUAUGUUUUCCUGCAUCUACUCCUUUUGAGGAUUUACCUUGCGAUCUGCAUUUUUUUCCUUUUGUGCUUUAUUGGUGUUAAGAGUAUGAAUUUAGUCCUUUGAUUCAGUCACGAUCUAUCGUGACGUGAUCUACUGUGAUGUGAUGUUCAUCAAUGCACUGUGAUCCACUCUGCAGGAGUUUCUCAUGACUCUACUUUUCUAUAACUUAAGGCCCAUAAGCUUCUAGUAUUAUCUUACAUAAUAUUACUACUUGAUCCCUCCUCCCCAAAAAGAUGGGGGUAUUUGCUCAGAGAAGGGUUAACUUCAGUGAAUCAGGACAUGGAAUUCUUCAUUUUUUAAAAAUAAAAUUUAUGCAAUUAGGAUUUAAAUAAAAAUAAUAUGAGUUACAAUUUAUAGUUAAAAUUGUUAUAGAAGGGGAAAAAAUGUCAAACAAAUUGAGAUAAGGAGUAUUUAUCAUCAGCUUGGAGUUAGAGGUGUUAUAGAUGAAAGAAGUGUUUCCAUCUGAUUUAGCAAUGACAGCAUAUAUAUCUAAACACGUUCAGAAAUUCUCAACAUUCUAGAUUUUGAAGGAUUGAAGUAUCACAGGUUUCAUAGAAGGAGAUAACUAGUUAGAUUGUUUUAUGGUCAGCACCCGUGAAAAUAAGUGGAAGAUCUGAUGGAUUGAAAAGGAUCCCACUCCCUUCUUGGGUACAUGGUUUGCGAAAGAGGUACUUGUGAUGCUACUGAAGUGUCUUGUUACCAUCCAAUAAGUGUCACAACUCACAACCUUUCUGUAGAUCGGCUAUGUAAACAAUUUCCACAAUGUUGUGACAUGUGUGAUUUGUCUCUCCUCAUUCAAAUAAAUCAGAGAUUCUUAGUUGUAGUUGAGGGAAUAGAAACCUUUAUAUUUGUGCAUCCAGAAUCUAACCUUUCCCAGUUAAUUCUAUAAGCCAGUUCUUUUGGGAUUGAGUAAUUCCACAGCUUUAACAUUGUCUUUCUGAAAGCUAAGAGGGAAUCAGUUUUAGAUGGAGCUUGUAUGAGUAAAUCUUCUGUGAGCCUUAUCUGUGGGUCGUCAUAGUGGUCUUUAUUGUAGAUGUUGGAGUAGAUGAUUAAAAGACGGAAGGAUCGUGGAGUUUUUUUUCCAGAAAUUCUGUAGCCUAAUCUGCCAAAAGCUGGUUUUUGUUUAUAUAGAAGAAAACAUCCUUCCUGAAUUUGAUCUUUUUGUCCUUCAGCUUAGAGAAUAUGAAAUCAUGAAAUCUCUCUAAGCUAUUUUAUGAUUCUGUUCCCAAGAGAAGACAUUAUUGAUUGACAAAUUCAACUAUGACUCUUUUUCUCGGGAAUCAGCUAUUAGUGUAGAAGAUUUUUGAGGCAAACAUGUAACAGGUUUUGUUUCAUGUCUUUUGUAACAAAGCUAUCACAAUUCUCUGGCAAAUGGAUGUGGAUUUUGAGAGGUUUCAUAAGAACCGGAAUUAAAAAAAACUGACUCUUUUGCCAUUACAUAUUCACAAGAUAACUUGGGAGAUCUAUUUGAACGCUAGACAUAUAUUAAUCCUUGUUCCAUCCCCGACUUUUGAGCAGGUCAACAUUUUGCCAUCUAUACAUGGUAAUAUUCAUUAAGCGUAUAUAUACUUGACUCUACAUAACCAUAACUGCAGUCAGUCUAAAUCUUACUUCCACGGACACUGAUUAAGUGAUUAUUCUUUCCACUAGCAUCAUUUACUUUAAUGUACAAUUAGAUAUUUCAGAAGAAAUUUCUGGGUUCAACUUAUGAAUCUCCCCUUAUGUUGACUAUAACAAAGUCGCAACCUUAGUAGAAUCGAAUAGUAAGCACGCAAAGUGUUUUUUCACAAUGGCCAUAAACAAUUGCUUCUGAGGAUGGCAAAAAAACACUUAGCUGAUCAGAUUUACUAUAUUUUCAACAACCUGGAUUGGCAGAAUGAUCUGCGUCAUUUCCCGACUUUGUUUUUAUUAAUAUUAUAACUCCUAGUUUGUUGGUAGCAGACUUGUUUGAUAGCUAGACCACUAUCUCCCGUCUAACUCACCUUCAGCAACUCAAAUUUUUUAUAUUUCUUAUUUCUGAUCAAAGGAUUGGCAUCUUUUACUGUAAAUCCUAGCUAUUUUAGCACGAUAUUGGAAAUCUUAUUGCUAUUACUCAAACAAGCAUGAAACUUCUGGGGGUUUCAACAGAUGAACGGCUAACUAGAUCUGAUUUGUCAGAUCAACAUCAAAGGCAUUUGCAGUGGCAGCAUCUGUUGUAACUUUCGGGUUUGGUAAGGGGAGCAGUUCAUAGAGCUUAUAGAUGCUUAUUUGACUGUACUGAUACUGCAGACUCUUCCAUUGUUCUUUCUUGCUGCAAGCCUUGGCUAGAUAACAUCAUUGUGAUUCACGAUAUACAGAACUUUAGUGUUAGUAAUGUUUUAUCAGGAUAUUCAGAUCUCUAGUUUUAGUAAUGUUUUAUCUGGAUAUUCAGAACUCUACUUGUUGCCAACAAUGUUAUCCAUUUUGUCACUUA